ACCUGCAUUCGAAAGUGACUCGGGCCACAGGCAAGACCAGGUCAUAGAUCCUGCAGGAAGAGGAGCUGGUGAAAGUUUUCCUGUGUUUGGGGGGCUCGGUGGCCAUCCCUGCCAAACCCUGUAACUUUCAGACA
ensembl:snoRNA SNORA71 Small nucleolar RNA SNORA71